GCUCUGUGAUGAGAAAGAGCCAAAUCUGAGCACCAUAUGAUUAGCCAGUCAUGUGUUGCAUAACUAGACAUGGUUCUGAGA